rnacentral:lncRNA from 1 species
GGCAGUUGCCCGUCGAUAAUAUAGUCUCGAAUUGUCUGAAGCCAUGGGGUAUCGCAGCCAUAAUCAGAUUGCUCCGAUUGCAGUUGUAUCGUAACUUCUUUUUCCUCGUCAUCUUGACCUUCUAUGAGGUUGACGACGAUUGGUGGUCCGAUGCUUGGAUGCUCGAUGAACUCGACUGGAAUUACCCUUUUAAGUCCAGG